AUUGAACGCUAGCGGGAUGCUUUACACAUUAAAGUCGAACGAGUGGCGGACGGGUGAGUAAUAUAUCGGAACGUGCCCAGGAGCGGGGGAUAACUACUCGAAAGAGAGGCUAAUACCGCAAACUACUGGAGCGGCCGAUAUCGGAUUAGCUAGUGGGUGGGGUAAAGGCUCACAAAGGCAACGAUCCGUAGCUGGUUUGAGAGGAUGACCAGCCACACUGGGACUGAGACACGGCCCAGACUCCUACGGGAGGCAGCAGUGGGGAAUUUUGGACAAUGGGGGAAACCCUGAUCCAGCCAUCCCGCGUGUAUGAGAAGGCCUUCGGGUUGUAAAGUACUUUUGGCAGAGAAGCGGUAUCUGCAGAAUAAGCACCGGCUAACUACGUGCCAGCAGCCGCGGUAAUAC
rnacentral:rRNA from 1 species